AUCUGAGAGAGCUGGACCUGAGCUACAAUCAUCCAGGAGACUCAGGAGAGAAGAUCCUGUCUUCUGGACUGAAGGAUCCACACUGGAGACUGGACACUCUCAGGAUGGACCAUGGUGGACCGCAGAGACUGAAACCUGGUCUGAGGAAGUGGUGAAGAACGUGUCGCUACCUCCUAACAUCCGUCCCGUCCCGUGGGCGGCACAGCGUGCAUUAAGAGGAUAAACUGCUCUUCAUUCACAGGAACAUACACUCUGCCUUUUCACUCUACAAUACGGUGUGUAGUGUGUGUCUAUGUGUGUGUCUGUGUGUGUGUUUAAUCCAAGACAUGAUGUAGUCAUGCAUUGGAGUGGAGGAAUGUUAGCAUUUCAACACGCUCAGCAGUCAGGCUUGCCCUUUUUUUGGUGACAAUGUUUCCAGCAAGUGAAAAAAGCCUUUCAGAUGGCGUUGAUGUGGCAGGUACAGAAUUACGAGUUGUUUUUUUACAUUGAUCAGAGUCAACUGUCUCACUGGUGUUGCUGCUGCCUCUACCGCUACUCGCUGCCGCCAUCUUUUGUUUUCAAACGACGCAUCGACGCACAGUUUUUGCGUCGACGUAAUCGAUGACGUCGACGCGUCGCCCCAGCCCUAUAUAGAGUGAGACAGAUGCGGGGU